UACGGGGGGGCAAGCGUUGUUCGGAAUUACUGGGCGUAAAGGGCGCGUAGGCGGUCUGCUAAGUUGGAUGUGAAAACUCUGGGCUUAACCCAGAGCCUGCAUUCAAUACUGACAGGCUAGAGUUCUGGAGGGGAUAGCGGAAUUCCUGGUGUAGCGGUGAAAUGCGUAGAUAUCUGGAGGAACACCGGUGGCGAAGGCGGCAUCCUGGACCGAUACUGACGCUGAGGAGCGAAAGCCAGGGGAGCAAACGGG
rnacentral:rRNA from 1 species